rnacentral:lncRNA from 1 species
GAGCACUGCCCGCCGGCUCCACUCCGGGAAAUUCCCCGGCAGCUCCCGGUAGGGAAUAAAAGCACGGGGGGGAAAGGGAGCCGUCCCGCCGGCUUCUGCACCCUCUCCGCCGCCAGCACCAGCCAUGAACCCGCACCUCCGCAUCCUCCUCCUCCUGGCCGCUGCCGCUCUAUGCCAGGGUGCUCCGCUGGCCGGGGAGCUGCGCUGCCGCUGCCCGCGGACCGUGUCCGAGGUGAUCCCGCCGCGGCGCAUGGCCCGCCUGGAGUUCCUCGCCGAGGGGCCACAC